CUUGGAAAUGGUAAGUGGUAGAAGCACAAGGAAGAGGAUCAAUUGCAAUCCACUCCAAGUAAGGUACUAAGUAUAUUCAUAAUGUACUUUAUAUAUCUAGUCUGACGCAAAACUUGUUAAGUGUUGCACAAAUGAUUUCAAAUAGCUAUUCUUUAACAUUUAAAUAUCAAAGCUGCAACAUAUAUGACUCAAACUAACAUAUUG
rnacentral:lncRNA from 1 species